UACGUAGGGGGCAAGCGUUGUCCGGAUUUAUUGGGCGUAAAGAGCGUGUAGGCGGCUUGGCAAGUCCGUUGUGAAAACUCGAGGCUCAACCUCGAGACGUCGGUGGAAACUGCCUCGCUAGAGUCCGGAAGAGGAGAGUGGAAUUCCUGGUGUAGCGGUGAAAUGCGCAGAUAUCAGGAGGAACACCGGUGGCGAAGGCGGGACUCUGGGCCGAUACUGACGCUGAGGAGCGAAAGCGUGGGAGCGAACAGG
rnacentral:rRNA from 1 species